GUAAGCGUAUGUAGGCGGACAUGUUAGUCGUGGGUCAAAUUUCCGAGCUAGCUCGGGAGCUGCUCACGAAACGGCAUGUCUAGAGAAAGUGAGAGAUGACUGGAACUCAUGGUGUAGUAGUGAAAUGCGUUGAUAUCAUGGGGAACACCAAAGGCGAAGGCAGGUCAUUGGCACUUUUCUGACGCUGAGAUACGAAAGCGUGGGUAGCGAAUGGGAUUAGAUACCCCAGUAGUCCACGCCGUAAACGAUGCAUAUUCAGCAUGUGGAGUAUCGACCCUCUGCGUGUUUUAGCUAACGCGUUAAAUAUGCCGCCUGGGAAGUACGAGCGCAAGCUUAAAACUCAAAGGAAUAGACGGGGAUCCGCACAAGUGGUGGAGCAUGUGGUUUAAUUCGACAAUAAGCGAGAAACCUCACCAGGACUAGAAACUUAGCUGCAAGCCUUAGAAAUAAGGCCGCCUUCGAGGGUGCUAAGCAGGUGCUGCAUGGUCGUCGUCAGCUCGUGCCGUAAGGUGUUCCCUUAAGUGGGGAAACGAGCGCAACCCUUGUCGUAUGUUAUAUAUGUCAUACGAGACUGCCCCGACUUUUGUUUUUAAUCAGAGAGAUUGAAGCCAAAAGUCGGGGAGGAAGGAGAGGAUGACGUCAGAUCAGCAUGGCCCUUGACGUCCUGGGCAACACACGUGCUACAAUGGUUAGAAUAAAGGGUCGCCAAACCGCGAGGUGGAGCCAAUCCCAAAAAUCUAAUCUCAGUUCGGAUUGGAGUC
rnacentral:rRNA from 1 species